rnacentral:rRNA from 1 species
ACGGAGGAUCCGAGCGUUAUCCGGAAUCAUUGGGUUUAAAGGGUCCGUAGGCGGUCUUAUAAGUCAGUGGUGAAAGCCCAUCGCUCAACGAUGGAACGGCCAUUGAUACUGUAAGACUUGAAUUAUUUGGAAGUAACUAGAAUAUGUAGUGUAGCGGUGAAAUGCUUAGAGAUUACAUGGAAUACCAAUUGCGAAGGCAGGUUACUACAAAUGGAUUGACGCUGAUGGACGAAAGCGUGGGUAGCGAACAGGAUUAGAUACCCUGGUAGUCCACGCCGUAAACGAUGGAUACUAGCUGUUCGGAGCAAUCUGAGUGGCUAAGCGAAAGUGAUAAGUAUCCCACCUGGGGAGUACGUUCGCAAGAAUG